UGGAUGGGGGCCGGGGGGGUGGACGAAUGAAUACACAGACAGGUGGACGAUUUGAGGUAAGGAUAGGGGAGAGAUGAAGUGAUACAUAAGCAUGCAAAUAGAAAUCGCCACAGAAAAAAGAGUGUUGGAGCAAAGGGAUGGAGAAGCUCAGGGGUCAUGUGUGGAGAAGAUGUUUAAGGCUGCACUAAAACUCACAUUUAAGACACUCAAGGGAAACAACAAAGACACAGCAAGACAAAAGACAAGAGAAAACACACAAGAAAUGAAAAGGGGAGAGAUGGCAGAUGAAUGUUUCUGAUUACACACUUCAUGCCUCCAGUGAGGUGGUUUUACAUGCGCAUGAACACAGAACAUGAUAGAGGGAAAGGAAUGCUGAGAGGAGAAACCGUCUGGGGGAUCGCUGUCACCAAACUGCUGCGCUGUUGUAUAGUGAAACCAGAUGAGCCCUGUUGCAGUCAAAUCCGUCUGCGCUGCCAGGUGUUGUUCCACAAGACCAGAGCCACGUGUGUGUGACGAAUGGGAUGGUCAAUAAAACUUGUGUUUGUUUUUCUUGUGUGCGUGCAUAAUACGAAGCAGGAUGCGGUCCCGGACGUAAACAGCUUUCACCCACUGAUUCGAAUCAUUCAAAAAAAAAAAUCAUGGGAAAAAUGUAUCUUUUACAGUACAGCUGACCACGUUUGAACCUGUUUUUUCAGGAUUUGCAGGUAUGCUCAGGUGUGCACGAUUUAGCUCUUUAACCCCAUCAUUUGUCUACUAAUGCGACAAAAGCAGAUUAUAUUUUAUCCUUCAUCUAUUAUUAGAUUCAAAUCUAAAGAGCAGAAGAGGACCAAUAGAUGACAGAUUUGCCUUUAGUAAACAGUUAAAGUCCCAUCCCGAUCCCAUUUUGUUGUGCUCUUACACACAGUGUUGAGAAAAGCCUGUGCUGGUUUAAUACCGUGUUCGCCUGUAUUAGAAUUCCAAGCAAACCCCGAAGGCGUGCGCAGCUGCUGAAAACAAUUAUUUUUAUUCCAGUGCAGCAGAAGUCUGCAGUAGUGUUUCUUUGCAGCAGGAAAACCCACGCUGUGAGUAGGGAGGACACAUGGGUAGCUGUUACAGCGGGUCUGUGAGGAGCAGAGGCUCAGUGAUGUUUGGACUUACAUGGACUGAAGAUCUGAUUCCAUUGAAAGGUUGGAAGCCGGCUCUCUGUGGGGACGCGGGGCUGCAGGGCGAGGCGUGACCGGAUCGUCCAAGAGAGGCCCUGCGGCUCCGCCUCCUCUCCAGGCCAUGUCUUUUGUCCCCGCCCCGAGGCUGGCUCGCCUGCGUUCCCGGCGUACCAUUGGUGGAGGCUGGCUGUCAUCAUCACCAUCUUCAUGCCGUAGGGUCGUCUGGGGAAAGACAUGACAGGUGUCUUUGGGAAACUGUCUCCAUGCCCUGCUCCUCCAGACCAUCUACCAUAUCAUAAAACGAAUCCUGGUCGGGCAGUGCUGCAAGAGUCUGCAAAAAGAAAGGAGACGUCGUCAAGAUGUAACCAAGGUUUAA